UAAGGUGCGCAUGGUCACUGGUGAUAAUGUUCAAACUGCUAGAGCUAUUGCAUUGGAAUGUGGAAUACUUGGUUCAGAUUCAGAUGCUACUGAACCAAAUCUUAUUGAAGGAAAAGUAUUCCGUGCCCUAUCUGAUGCCCAAAGAGAAGAAGUUGCUGAGAAAAUAUCAGUGAUGGGCCGAUCCUCCCCCAAUGAUAAGCUUCUCCUUGUGCAAGCGUUGAGAAAG
rnacentral:misc_RNA from 1 species